rnacentral:rRNA from 1 species
UACGUAGGGUCCGAGCGUUGUCCUGAAUUACUGGGCGUAAAGAGCUCGUAGGCGGUUUGUCGCGUCUGCCGUGAAAGUCCGGGGCUCAACUCCGGAUCUGCGGUGGGUACGGGCAGACUAGAGUGAUGUAGGGGAGACUGGAAUUCCUGGUGUAGCGGUGAAAUGCGCAGAUAUCAGGAGGAACACCGAUGGCGAAGCCAGGUCUCUGGGCAUUAACUGACGCUGAGGAGCGAAAGCAUGGGGAGCGAACGGG